AACGAACGCUGGCGGCAUGCCUAACACAUGCAAGUCGAACGAGACCUCCGGGUCUAGUGGCGCACGGGUGCGUAACGCGUGGGAACCUGCCCUUAGGUUCGGAAUAACUCCCCGAAAGGGGUGCUAAUACCGGUUAAUGUCUUCGGACCAAAGAUUUAUCGCCUUUGGAUGGGCCCGCGUUGGAUUAGCUGGUUGGUAGGGUAAAAGCCUACCAAGGCGACGAUCCAUGGCUGGUCUGAGAGGAGGCUAAGCCACACUGGGACUGAGACACGGCCCAGACUCCUACGGGAGGGAGCAGUGGGGAAUAUUGGACGAUGGGCGAAAGCCUGGUCCAGCCAUGCCGCGUGAGUGAUGAAGGCCUUAGGGUUGUAAAGCUCUUUUACCCGGGAUGAUAAUGACGGUACCGGGAGAAUAAGCUCCGGCUAACUCCGUG
rnacentral:rRNA from 1 species